rnacentral:rRNA from 1 species
AGCAGCCGCGGUAAUUCCAACUCCAAUAGCGUAUAUUAAAGUUGUUGCAGUUAAAAAGCUCGUAGUUGAAUUUCGGGAUUAGUACGCUGGUCAUGCCUUUGGUAUGUACUGGUGUUACUGAUUUCUACCUUCUGAAGAACCGUUAUGUCAUUUAUUUGGUGUGGCGGGGAAUCAGGACUGUUACUUUGAAAAAAUUAGAGUGCUUAAAGCAGGCUCGCGCUUGAAUACAUUAGCAUGGAAUAAUGAAAUAGGACGUUUGACCCUAUUUUGUUGGUUUCUAGGAUCGACGUAAUGAUUAAUAGGGAUAGUUGGGGGCAUUAGUAUUCAAUUGUCAGAGGUGAAAUUCUUGGAUUUAUUGAAGACUAACUACUGCGAAAGCAUUUGCCAAGGAUGUUUUCAUUAAUCAAGAACGAAAGUUAGGGGAUCGAAGACGAUCAGAUACCGUCGUAGUCUUAACCAUAAACUAUGCCGACUAGGGAUCGGAUGAUGUUAUUUUAAUGACUCAUUCGGCGCCUUACGG